AGCAAACACAAGCGUUUAAGAGUUUGCCAUUGCUCUGAAUUAUUCUAAAGUAGGGAAAAUCAUCAAUAGCCGGCCAGUUACAAUGAAAUUACUUAUCCUUAUUCUCGUUCUCGUUCAGGUGCAAGCUAAUCACCUUGCCCUUACCUCUUCCAGUGAAGGACCUCUGCAUAUUUGCAUUACAAAUAAAAUUGAAGUUUGUAAACUACACAGUCGGCUAGUUGCAUAUUAUGAAUGGUGCAUUGUUUCUAGUUUUCUACACUGCGUUACUCAUAUCAAAGAAGAGGACGACCCAAUUUUGUUUCCUAUCAUUCAAAGGUGUGCAUUAGAUUGCCUGCACUCACACGAAGGGAAACCAGCUACUACUACUGCUUGUUUAAUAGAAUGCUAUGAAAAGCAUAUCAAGAAGCGCUCGGAUGUUGUUUAUAUGCAGACUCCAUAAGUUCCCGCUUUCGAUAUGCUAAGUUCAUCAGCUGGAUUAAAGAAUGUGUCACCUCCCCAAGGUUCUCCAUUGCUCUUAAUGGCACUUUGGUAGGGUAUUUUGAAGGAAGGAAAGUUCUAAGGCUGGGAGACCCUCUCUCUCCUUAUUUGUUUGUUCUAGUCAUUGAGGUGUUCUCUAAUCUCAUGGAAGAUUAUGCGAGAAUGAACACAGAUUUUCAGUUUCAUCAUCGUUGUGCCAAAUUGCGAUUAUCCCAUUUAUGUUUUGUGGAUGAUUUACUCAUCUUCUCGGAGGCUAGUCUCAAAUCAGUGAAUGUUAUCCAACAGGUUUUGAAGGAGUUUGAAUGCUUGUCGGGGUUAAAAGCUAAUCCUUCUAAGAGUUUCAUCUUCUUUGCUGGUGUCUCUGAGAGAAUAAAGCAUCUUUUGUUGUUUGCUAUGCAAAUGCAGGAAGGUGUUCUGCCUGUUAGGUACCUUGGGGUUCCUCUAAUCUCCUCUAGACUCACUGCAGCGGAUUGCCAAGCUUUGAUUAUGAAAAUCACAAGUCGUAUUGACUCUUGGAUUUCUAAAAGGCUUACUUUUGCGGGUGAUUGCAAUUGAUAUCCUCCAUUCCUUAUAGUAUUCAAGUGUAUUGGUAAGGUAUUUUCAUCUUCCCCAAAAAGAUCAUAAAUGCUAUUGAGCAAAAGUUUAAUCAGUUCCUAUGGAAUGGUCACAGUUCUAGUUCUGCAAAAGCAAAAGUUGCUUUGGACUGAUUUAUGCUAUCCUAUAAAAGAAGGGGGCUUGGGGCUGAAGGAUUUGGAGGUUUGGAAUCAUGCCUCCAUGUUGCGGCAUGUUUGGAAUCUGUUUGCUAGAUCAGGUUCCAUAUGGGUUGCUUGGAUUAAAGAGAACGUACUGAAAAAUAAGAGUUUUUGGAAUAUUGGUAUCUCUCAAAACAACUCUUGGUAUUGGAGGAAGUUCCUGAAAUUGCAUGUCUUAGCAAAACACUUCCUCAAAUUUGAUGUGGGGGAUGGGGAAAACAUUCACUUGUGGCUGGACCAUUGGCACCUUUGUGGAAUAUUGUUCGAUACUUAUGGUUUUCGAGUUGUCUACGAUGCUCAGAGUAGACUAGAAGCUAAAGUUUCUUCAGUGAUAAAAAAUAAAGUUUGGUACUGGAAAGCUGCUCGUUCUAAUGCUCUUGUAGAUAUCCAAAGUAGGCUUCUUGAGAUCAAGAUAAGUGCUUGUGACAUUCCUAUUUGGUCAAUCUCCAAGAAGGGUUCCUAUGUAUGUUCUGAUACUUGAGAAUAUCUUUGGAAGAAAAAUCACGUGGUUGAUUGGUGGCAGCUUGUUUGGUUUUCCUACGCUAUCCCCAAACAUGCCUUUGUCUUAUAGUUAGCUAUGCGAAAUAGGCUAUCUACUGGGGACUGUUUGGCUAGUUGGGGUUUCAAUGGGAAUGUGCAAUGUUUAUUCUGCAGGAAUGCCAUGGAUAGUUGUGAGCAUCUAUUCUUUGAGUGCAGUUUCAGUCAUCGCAUUUGGAAAGUUGGAAUGCACCGUUGCAUUGUGGAUAAUCCUCCUCGAUGGAAAGAAGUAAUGAGUUUGGGUAGUAGGAAUUGGAAGGGCAAUUCCUUGCAUGCUACCUUGUGUAAGUUGGUGUUGAGCUCCUCAGUGUAUAAUCUAUGGAGUUCUAGGAAUGAGAUCAAGCAUAACGGUCAUCCCAAAACAGAGGAAUAGCUCUUGAAGGUAAUUUUUUGGGAAGUAAGAUCUAGAAUUCUGGGAAAGGGGAAGUUUCCAAAGUCUCAAGCCAAUGUUGUCAUCUGUCAAGCUGGGAACAUUCUUGCAGAUUUAUUGAUUUAAAUAGUCUAGUAGUUUUGGCCCAUUUCUAGUUGUUAGUUGAGGUUUGGUUUGUAGUGUUAGGCUCUGUGCCUAGGGCUUGUUUGUAGGAUUUUUUGUUUGCUCCUUAUUUUGUUUUCAGCUGUCUUGCUAAUUGUUUGUUUUCUCGUUUGUUGAAUGAAAGUUCUGCUUAUUUAUCAAAAUAAAUAAAUAAACAUGCUCCCCAAUGA